rnacentral:rRNA from 1 species
UGAGGAAUAUUGGGCAAUGCCCGCAAGGGUGACCCAGCAACGCCGCGUGGAGGAUGAAUGUCGUAAGAUUGUAAACUCCUGUUAGAGGGGAAGAAUAGUACCGGUUGGACCGGUAUAUGACUGUACCCUCAGAGAAAGCCCCGGCUAACUACGUGCCAGCAGCCGCGGUAAUACGUAGGGGGCAAGCGUUGUCCGGAUUUACUGGGUGUAAAGGGCGCGCAGGCGGGUAAAAAGUCAGUGGUGAAAUCCUACAGCUUAACUGUAGAACUGCCUUUGAUACUUUUAUUCUUGAGUUCGGGAGAGAGAGACGGAAUUCCAGGUGUAGUGGUGAAAUACGUAGAUAUCUGGAAGAACACCAGUUGCGAAGGCGGUCUCUUGGUCCGACACUGACGCUGAGGCGCGAAAGCGUGGGGAGCAAACA